rnacentral:misc_RNA from 1 species
GAUGAAGAACGUAGUGAAAUGCGAUACGUAAUGUGAAUUGCAGAAUUCAGUGAAUCAUCGAGUCUUUGAACGCACAUUGCGCCCCCUGGUAUUCCGGGGGGCAUGCCUGUCCGAGCGUCAUUGCUGCCCUCAAGCACGGCUUGUGUGUUGGGCCUCCGUCCUCCUCCCGGGGGACGGGCCCGAAAGGCAGUGGCGGCACCGCGUCCGGUCCUCGAGCGUAUGGGGCUUCGUCACCCGCUCUUGUAGGCCCGGCCGGCGCUUGCCGACACAUCAAUCUUUUUUCCAGGUUGACCUCGGAUCAGGUAGGGAUACCCGCUGAACUUAAGUAUAUCAAUAAGCGGAGGA